GGGGCCUUUUCACAGAUUUUGGCAUUUUUUAACUUAUUCAUUAAAUGCUUUAUAUUGAUAAAUGUAAACAUUGGAUCGUAAAAGCUCCAGUAAAAAAUCAAGAAAAAAAAAUAAAAAAAGGAAAAGAACAUUGCCCGGAGCAGGUUUCGAACCAGUGACCCCUGGAGUCCUGCCAGAGUCCUGAAGUAAAAACGCUUUAGCCUACUGAGCUAUUCCGCCGAGUACACAUUCUUGACGUAUUUUAUACCUUAUAUAAGCAAUCUUCGUAGUUUCACAAAAUUUAACGACAAAAACAGAACUCUCCAAAUUAUUCAAUCGUUUCGCGUUGCAACGCUUUAUAAUUUUUAGGUUUUAAAAUCGUCAAAAGAUGCAUAUAAUGGCUAUAUUAGACCAUGGUAAAUGUUCAGUAUUACUGUU